UCAUGGCUCAGAUUGAACGCUGGCGGCAUGCCUUACACAUGCAAGUCGAACGGCAGCACGGGAGCUUGCUCCUGGUGGCGAGUGGCGAACGGGUGAGUAAUAUAUCGGAACGUGCCCUAGAGUGGGGGAUAACUAGUCGAAAGAUUAGCUAAUACCGCAUACGAUCUAUGGAUGAAAGUGGGGGAUCGCAAGACCUCAUGCUCCUGGAGCGGCCGAUAUCUGAUUAGCUAGUUGGUGAGGUAAAGGCUCACCAAGGCGACGAUCAGUAGCUGGUCUGAGAGGACGACCAGCCACACUGGAACUGAGACACGGUCCAGACUCCUACGGGAGGCAGCAGUGGGGAAUUUUGGACAAUGGGCGCAAGCCUGAUCCAGCAAUGCCGCGUGAGUGAAGAAGGCCUUCGGGUUGUAAAGCUCUUUUGUCAGGGAAGAAACGGUUGUGGCUAAUAUCCAUGACUAAUGACGGUACCUGAAGAAUAAGCACCGGCUAACUACGUGCCAGCAGCCGCGGUAAUACGUAGGGUGCAAGCGUUAAUCGGAAUUACUGGGCGUAAAGCGUGCGCAGGCGGUUGUGCAAGACAGAUGUGAAAUCCCCGGGCUUAACCUGGGAAUUGCAUUUGUGACUGCACGGCUAGAGUGUGUCAGAGGGGGGUAGAAUUCCACGUGUAGCAGUGAAAUGCGUAGAUAUGUGGAGGAAUACCGAUGGCGAAGGCAGCCCCCUGGGAUAACACUGACGCUCAUGCACGAAAGCGUGGGGAGCAAACAGGAUUAGAUACCCUGGUAGUCCACGCCCUAAACGAUGUCUACUAGUUGUCGGGUCUUAAUUGACUUGGUAACGCAGCUAACGCGUGAAGUAGACCGCCUGGGGAGUACGGUCGCAAGAUUAAAACUCAAAGGAAUUGACGGGGACCCGCACAAGCGGUGGAUGAUGUGGAUUAAUUCGAUGCAACGCGAAAAACCUUACCUACCCUUGACAUGUACGGAAUCCUGAAGAGAUUUGGGAGUGCUCGAAAGAGAGCCGUAACACAGGUGCUGCAUGGCUGUCGUCAGCUCGUGUCGUGAGAUGUUGGGUUAAGUCCCGCAACGAGCGCAACCCUUGUCAUUAGUUGCUACGAAAGGGCACUCUAAUGAGACUGCCGGUGACAAACCGGAGGAAGGUGGGGAUGACGUCAAGUCCUCAUGGCCCUUAUGGGUAGGGCUUCACACGUCAUACAAUGGUACAUACAGAGGGCCGCCAACCCGCGAGGGGGAGCUAAUCCCAGAAAGUGUAUCGUAGUCCGGAUUGGAGUCUGCAACUCGACUCCAUGAAGUUGGAAUCGCUAGUAAUCGCGGAUCAGCAUGUCGCGGUGAAUACGUUCCCGGGUCUUGUACACACCGCCCGUCACACCAUGGGAGCGGGUUCUGCCAGAAGUAGUUAGCCUAAC
rnacentral:rRNA from 1 species